rnacentral:rRNA from 1 species
GACGAACGCUGGCGGCGUGCUUAACACAUGCAAGUCGAACGAAGUGGCGAACGGGUGAGUAACGCGUAAUCAACCUGCCCUUCAGAGGGGGACAACAGUUGGAAACGACUGCUAAUACCGCAUACUGAAGGAGGGGAUUGCGUCUGAUUAGCUAGUUGGAGGGUUAACGGCCAACCAAGGCGAUGAACAGUAGCCGGGCUGAGAGGAUGAACGGCAACAUUGGGACUGAGACACGGCCCAGACUCCUACGGGAGGCAGCAGUGGGGAAUCUUCCGCAAUGGACGAAAGUCUGACGGAGCAACGCCGCGUGAGUGAUGACGGCCUUCGGGUUGUAAACUGCUUUUGUCAGGGACGCGGUACCUGAAGAAUAAGCACCGGCUAACUACGUGCCAGCAGCCGCGGUAAUAC